AUGAACGCUGGCGGCGUGGAUUAGGCAUGCAAGUCGAACGGCCAGCAAUGGCAGUGGCGACCUGGUCAGUACAAGUUGGGUUACGUGCCCGGAAGUGGGGGACAACACCGAGAAAUCGGUGCUAAUACCGCAUGUGGACGAAAGUCCAAAGCAGCGAUGCGCUUCCGGAUCGGCCCGACUCCCAUUAGCUAGUUGGCGGGGUAAAGGCCCACCAAGGCUACGAUGGGUAGGCGACGUGAGAGCGUGUUCGCCGACACGAGGACUGAGAUACGGCCUCGACUCCUACGGGGGGCAGCAGUCUAGGAGCUUCGGCAAUGGGCGAAAGCCUGACCGAGCGACGCCGCGUGCGGGAUGAAGCCUCUUGGGGUGUAAACCGCUUUCGGACGGGAAGAAAGCCCGGAUGGUGAAUUCGGGUUUGACGGUACCGUAAGAAGAAGCACCGGCUAACUCCGU
rnacentral:rRNA from 1 species